rnacentral:rRNA from 1 species
GACGAACGCUGGCGGCGUGCUUAACACGUGCAAGUCGAACGGCAAGGCCCUUCGGGGUACACGAGUGGCGAACGGGUGAGUAACACGUGGGUGAUCUGCCCUGCACUUCGGGAUAAGCCUGGGAAACUGGGUCUAAUACCGGAUAGGACCCUGGGAUGCAUGUCCUGGGGUGGAAAGCUUUUGCGGUGUGGGAUGGGCCCGCGGCCUAUCGGCUUGUUGGUGGAGGGAUGGCCUACCAAGGCGACGACGGGGAGCCGGCCUGAGAGGGUGACCGGCCACCCUGGGACUGAGAGACGGCCCAGACUCCUUCGGGAGGCAGCAGUGGGGAAUAUUGCACAAGGGGCGCAAGCCUGAUGCAGCGACGCCGCGUGAGGGAUGACGGCCUUCGGGUUGUAAACCUCUUUCAGCACCGACGAAGCGCAAGUGACGGUAGGUGCAGAAGAAGGACCGGCCAACUACGUGCCAGCCGCCGCCGUAACAC